rnacentral:rRNA from 1 species
UGAUACCCCACUAUGCCUGGCCGUAAACUUUAACUUACACCUUAAUCGUCAGGGAACUACGAGCAAAGCUUAAAACCCAAAGGACUUGACGGUGCCCCAUAUCCCCCUAGAGGAGCCUGUCCUAUAAUCGAUAAUCCCCGCUUAACCUCACCACAUCUAGCCUACCAGUCUGUAUACUUCCGUCGCAAGCCUACCACAUGAGCGAUACUUAGUUAGCCCAACGUCCACACAUAAAUGUGUCUACAUCGACAAUACGUCAGGUCAAAGUGCAGCAAACGAUGUGGGAUGAGAUUGGCUACACUUUUUAAUUUAAAAGAAACGGAAGGCAAUAAUGAAACUUUGUCAGAAGGUGGAUUUAGCAGUAAAAGGAAAAUAUAAAAUUUCUUUUAACUCGGCACUGGGGUGUGUACACACCGCCCGUCACCCUCUUCAAAAAUCUCAGACCAGUACUUAACCCACUACCAAAAAUAAAGAAGAGGCAAGUCGUAACAUGGUAAGCGUACCGGAAGGUGUGCUUGGAAA